CAGAAGAGGAGUACGUGGAGCAGCUCAACAUCCUAGUGACGGGCUUUUUAAGGCCAUUCAAAAUGGCGGCCUCUUCAAAAAUGCCGCCGUGUAGCCACGAAGAUGUCAAUUCGAUAUUCCUUAACUCGGAGACACUGUUAUUUUUGCACCAAAUAUUUUUGAAGGGCCUUUCCGCCCGAAUGGAAAGCUGGCCGACAUUGGUGCUGGAUAACUACCGGCCUAUAUGUGCUCCAUUAGGAGACCUGUUCGACAUGCUGCUACCGAUGCUGAGCAUAUACCAGGAAUAUGUUCGGAACCAUCACUACAGUCUCCAGGU